UACGAAGGGAGCUAGCGUUGUUCGGAAUCACUGGGCGUAAAGCGCACGUAGGCGGAUGUGUCAGUCAGGGGUGAAAUCCCGGAGCUCAACUUCGGAACUGCCUUUGAUACAGCACGUCUUGAGUCCGAUAGAGGUGGGUGGAAUUCCUAGUGUAGAGGUGAAAUUCGUAGAUAUUAGGAAGAACACCGGUGGCGAAGGCGGCCCACUGGAUCGGUACUGACGCUGAGGUGCGAAAGCGUGGGGAGCGAACAGG
rnacentral:rRNA from 1 species